AUUGAACGCUGGCGGCAUGCUUUACACAUGCAAGUCGAACGGUAACAGGCCUUCGGGUGCUGACGAGUGGCGAACGGGUGAGUAAUGCAUCGGAACGUACCCAGAGGUGGGGGAUAACGCAGCGAAAGCUGUGCUAAUACCGCAUGUGAUCUGAGGAUGAAAGCGGGGGACCGAGCAGCAAUGUUUGGCCUCGCGCCUUUGGAGCGGCCGAUGUCGGAUUAGCUAGUUGGUGGGGUAAAGGCCUACCAAGGCGACGAUCCGUAGCUGGUCUGAGAGGACGACCAGCCACACUGGGACUGAGACACGGCGCAGACUCCUACGGGAGGCAGCAGUGGGGAAUUUUGGACAAUGGGCGCAAGCCUGAUCCAGCAAUGCCGCGUGCGGGAAGAAGGCCUUCGGGUUGUAAACCGCUUUUGGCAGGAACGAAACGGUGUCCGCUAAUACCGGGCGCUAAUGACGGUACCUGCAGAAUAAGCACCGGCUAGCUACGUG
rnacentral:rRNA from 1 species